UUAAAAAAAAACAGGGUACUAAAAUAUAUUUUAUUAAAAUGAAGUAAACUUUAUAUAUUUUCAGUAUUAUCCUCUUUCAUAUCGACAGAUAUCCAUUCUUCUCAGCUCUCAAAGAAUCUGGCUACCAGCCUGUUCUCCAAGCAAUAAUCCAAGGAUUAAUCAGAGUUGCUGCAUCUAAUGGGCAAGGAUGGUAAUGUUUGUUUCCCUGUAUUCUCGUGACCUAAUGAGAAGUUCAUCAAUGUCAACGGUGCUAUUUGGAACUGCCUCUCAUAGACAAUAGCAAGUUCACUGACGAAAGAGAGACUGAAAAAGCAAGCAAGCCAAAGUGGAGGAAUUGAAAUCUGAAAAUAUCUAGUCCACACCUGGGAGACAAGGAGCUUAAAGAGUUUUGAACCGGAAAAUUACAACCAAUUCAAAGUGAGGACAGACUCUAGAGCAAAAUGGUCUAUUUCCCUUGAAUAUUGCAAAGAAAGCAUUGGUUACAUACAGUAUAUGAAUGUUUAAAGGGUCCAUUUGUGCAAUAGGAGCUUUAACUUCAGUCAUCCUGAUUUUAGGGAUAGGAAGUUUCAGCGAAGGACACUUUGCAGUCCUUUUACUGCCAUACAUAGAAAUGGGAACUGGAUACUUCUUAAAAAGAAGGUGGCACUUUUGCUUUUGAAACAUGAAUGGUGUUGCUGUUACAAGCCUCCAAGCUGUGACUUGGGUACAGUUGCUCUAGGGACAGAAUCAGGGUUGGCUUGUUCCCUGGCAUUUGUGGACAUGUCUUCUGACAGCUUCCCUGUCUUUGUAACUCCUAAUUCUCAGCAAGUCAGAUACAGUGGUACCUCGGGUUACGAACCCCUCUGUUAACUAAC